UACGUAGGUCCCGAGCGUUAUCCGGAUUUAUUGGGCGUAAAGCGAGCGCAGGCGGUUGGAUAAGUCUGAAGUUAAAGGCUGUGGCUCAACCAUAGUAUGCUUUGGAAACUGUUCAACUUGAGUGCAGAAGGGGAGAGUGGAAUUCCAUGUGUAGCGGUGGAAUGCGUAGAUAUAUGGAGGAACACCGGUGGCGAAAGCGGCUCUCUGGUCUGUAACUGACGCUGAGGCUCGAAAGCGUGGGGAGCAAACAGG
rnacentral:rRNA from 1 species